GACGAACGCUGGCGGCGUGCUUAACACAUGCAAGUCGAACGGAAAGGCCCCUUCGGGGGUACUCGAGUGGCGAACGGGUGAGUAACACGUGAGUAACCUGCCCUGACUUCGGGAUAACUUCAGGAAACUGGGGCUAAUACCGGAUAGGAAUCCUUGCUGCAUGGUGGGGGUUGGAAAGCUUCGGCGGUUUUGGAUGGACUCGCGGCUUAUCAGCUUGUUGGUGGGGUAGUGGCUUACCAAGGCUUUGACGGGUAGCCGGCCUGAGAGGGCGACCGGCCACAUUGGGACUGAGAUACGGCCCAGACUCCUACGGGAGGCAGCAGUGGGGAAUAUUGCACAAUGGGCGGAAGCCUGAUGCAGCAACGCCGCGUGCGGGAUGACGGCCUUCGGGUUGUAAACCGCUUUCAGCAGGGGCGAAGCUUGUGGUGACGGUACCUGCAGAAGAAACACCGGCUAACUACGU
rnacentral:rRNA from 1 species